GGGGAUGUGGCGCAAUUGGCAGACGCAGCUGGCUCAGAACCUGUUUGUUGUGAGUUCGAAUCUCACCAUCCCUACCA
rnacentral:tRNA from 1 species